rnacentral:lncRNA from 1 species
AUCAGAUCUAUAAAUUAAGACCUAUCAGAUGUAGAGUUUCUGUUCAUAUUGGGUGGAUGGGCUUUCAUGGGAAAAAUUUACCUAUCAGAAUUUUUUACUGCAAGGAUUGUACCCAUCAGAAUUAUAAAUACAAUACCAGAUAAUGCAUGAUACGAAACUGUCUACAUUCCAAAGCACCCCUAAGAUCUGAAAUAGGUAUUUUUUGUAACCCCUAAGAUGUCAUUAUUUUUAAUUAUUUACUGCUGCAAGACGCUCAGAAAUUUUUGCGUAUAAGUGUACGUGUCAAAUGAAAAAACCUAAAAUUUCACCCCUAAGAUGUAUAAAUUUUACACCUCUCAGAAAGGAC